rnacentral:tRNA from 1 species
UAAGGGAUCCGGGACAUAAUAAAGCUUCUAACUUUAUUUAGAGAGGUUCGACUCCUUUCUUCCUUAA